GAGGUUAUGAUAUAAUGUGCCCAGUGGGCCACUUUUGGUAAGCAGACCUGGCGCUGUGGGAUGAACCAAACGUAAUGUUACGGUGCCAAAAUUAACAACUCAUACAGAUACCAUGAAAGGCGUUGGUUGCUUAAAACAGCAGGACGGUGGACAUGGAAGUCGUAAUCCGCUAAGGAGUGUGUAACAACUCACCUGCCGAAGCAACUAGCCCUUAAAAUGGAUGGCGCUUAAGUUGUAUACCUAUACAUUACCGUUAAAGUAAAUGAUUUAUAUUCAAUUUCGAUUGAAUUUAAUAAAUUUUGAAACUUUAAUGAGUAGGAGGGUAUAAUGGUGUGCAUAGAAGUGUUUGGCGUAAGCCUGCAUGGAGCCGCCAUUAGCACAGAUCUUGGUGGUAGUAGCAAAUAAUCGAAUGAGACCUUGGAGGACUGAAGUGGAGAAGGGUUUCGUGUGAACAGUGGUUGAUCACGAGUUAGUCGGUCCUAAGUUUAAUGCGAAAGCUGAAUAUUUUCAAAGUUAAAAAAAUGAUCAAAAUAAAUAAAUAAUUAAUACACUUUGAUUAAUAUAUUUGAACGAAAGUUUCGUGUGAACAGUGGUUGAUCACGAGUUAGUCGGUCCUAAGUUUAAUGCGAAAGCUGAAUAUUUUCAAAGUUAAAAAAAUGAUCAAAAUAAAUAAAUAAUUAAUACACUUUGAUUAAUAUAUUUGAACGAAAGGGAAUACGGUUCCUAUUCCGUAACCUGUUGAGUAUCCGUUUGUUAUUAAAAAUGGGCCUUGUGCUCAUCCUGGUAACAGGAACGACCAUAAAGAAGCCGUCGAGAGAUAUCGGAAGAGUUUUCUUUUCUGUUUUAUAAUCGUACUACCAUGGAAGUCUUUCGAAGAGAGAUAUGGUAGAUGGAUUAGAAGAGCAUGACAUUUACUGUUGUGUCGAUAUUAUCUCCUCGGACCUUGAAAAUUUAUGGUGGGGUCACGCAAAUUUCUCAACAGGCCGUACCGAUAUCCGCAGCUGGUCUCCAAGGUGAAGAGUCUCUAGUCGAUAGAAUAAUGUAGGUAAGGGAAGUCGGCAAAUUAUUUAAGGAGUUUUUAACAAGAGGUGUCAGAAAAGUUACCACAGGGGUAACUGGCUUGUGGCGGCCAAGCGUUCAUAGCGACGUCGCUUUUUGAUCCUUCGAUGUCGGCUCUCCCUAUCAUUGUGAAGCAAAAUUCACCAAGCGUUGGAUUGUUCACCCAUGCAAGGGAACGUGAGCUGGGUUUAGACCGUCGUGAGACAGGUUAGUUUUACCCUACUAAUGACAAUAUGUUAUUGCGACAGCAUUCCUGCGUAGUACGAGAGGAACCGCAGGUACGGACCAAUGGUACAAUACUUGUUCGAGCGAACAGUGGUAUGAUACUACGUCCGUUGGAUUAUGCCUGAACGCCUCUAAGGUCGUAUCCGCGCUGGACUGCAAUGAUAAAUAUGGGGCAAUUGUGUUGUAUGGCUUCUAAAUUAUUUUUUAAGUUUUAUAAGUAAUUAUAAAACGACACGAAUAAUUUUAUGUGACGCCAAUGUUAUAUGUAAUAUAAGCUAAUGUAAGAGGAUUAAAUAUCACUUGCAUGUUAUGCUUUUCAAUUACACAUAUUUAAAACAUUAUUUAAUACAAUGACAAUGCCUAGAAUCAAUUGUAAACGACUUUGGUAACGGGCAAGGUGUUGUAAG
rnacentral:rRNA from 1 species